rnacentral:rRNA from 1 species
AGAGUUUGAUCAUGGCUCAGAUUGAACGCUGGCGGCAGGCUUAACACAUGCAAGUCGAGCGGUAACAGAAAGUAGCUUGCUACUUUGCUGACGAGCGGCGGACGGGUGAGUAAUGCCUAGGAAUCUGCCUAGUAGUGGGGGAUAACUUGCCGAAAGGUAAGCUAAUACCGCAUACGUCCUACGGGAGAAAGCAGGGGACCUUCGGGCCUUGCGCUAUUAGAUGAGCCUAGGUCGGAUUAGUUAGUUGGUGAGGUAAUGGCUCACCAAGACCGCGAUCCGUAACUGGUCUGAGAGGAUGAUCAGUCACACUGGAACUGAGACACGGUCCAGACUCCUACGGGAGGCAGCAGUGGGGAAUAUUGGACAAUGGGGGCAACCCUGAUCCAGCCAUGCCGCGUGUGUGAAGAAGGUCUUAGGAUUGUAAAGCACUUUAAGUUGGGAGGAAGAGCAGUUAACUAAUACUUGAUUGUUUUGACGUUACCGACAGAAUAAGCACCGGCUAACUUCGUGCCAGCAGCCGCGGUAAUACGAAGGGUGCAAGCGUUAAUCGGAAUUACUGGGCGUAAAGCGCGCGUAGGUGGUUCGUUAAGUUAGGAGUGAAAGCCCCGGGCUCAACCUGGGAAUUGCUUCUAAAACUGGCGGACUAGAGUAUGGUAGAGGGUGGUGGAAUUUCCUGUGUAGCGGUGAAAUGCGUAGAUAUAGGAAGGAACAUCAGUGGCGAAGGCGACCACCUGGACUGAUACUGACACUGAGGUGCGAAAGCGUGGGGAGCAAACAGGAUUAGAUACCCUGGUAGUCCACGCCGUAAACGAUGAUAACUCGCUGUUGGCGAUACACAGUCAGCGGCUUAGCGAAAGCGUUAA